CCUGGCCUUGACAUACUAAGAACUUUCCAGAGAUGGAUUGGUGCCUUCGGGAACUUAGAUACAGGUGCUGCAUGGCUGUCGUCAGCUCGUGUCGUGAGAUGUUGGGUUAAGUCCCGCAACGAGCGCAACCCUUUUCCUUAUUGCCAGCGGGUUAAGCCGGGAACUUUAAGGAUACUGCCAGUGACAAACUGGAGGAAGGCGGGGACGACGUCAAGUCAUCAUGGCCCUUACGGCCAGGGCUACACACGUGCUACAAUGGUCGGUACAAAGGGUUGCUACCUCGCGAGAGGAUGCUAAUCUCAAAAAGCCGAUCGUAGUCCGGAUCGCAGUCUGCAACUCGACUGCGUGAAGUCGGAAUCGCUAGUAAUCGCGGAUCAGAAUGCCGCGGUGAAUACGUUCCCGGGCCUUGUACACACCGCCCGUCACACCAUGGGAGUUUGUUGCACCAGAAGUAGGUAGUCUAACCGCAAGUAGGACGCUUACCACGGUGUGGCCGAUGACUGGGGUGAAGUCGUAACAAGGUAAGCGUAGAUGA
rnacentral:rRNA from 1 species